UCUGUUCUAUAGGAUCGUACCUCUGUAUCCUUGAUUUCUAAGGAGACAGGAAUCUAAACCUGGUGGAUGAAGCAGAGCCAUGCGACCAGAGCGUGAUUAAUGGCUGGUGAUCCUCGGGUCACCAUGGCUGUAGAUGAUCGUUCUCAGCUUGAUUCGUCAAGUCUGGGGUGGUCGCUUGGCUGUCUGACAGGUUCCUCCCUCUUUUUAUUUUUCUUUGUUGUUCUUAAACUAGCAUCAGCCUUAAGAUGAUAGAAGCAUUUGAGCUGAUCAGAUUAUCCCGGCAGGAUAAACUGGCCUGAUGGUGAAUGUAAUGUUAUAAGGUAGUUACGUACUGUGAGGACAGAGAAAGGUUGGGACCUGAGUUGGGAUACAAAUCUUGUUUUAAAUUACCACUCACUAAUCUUGAAAGCUUUGAUCAAUCUCAUGCCUUGGUAAGUUAAUAUUUUCAUUAUUUUGUAUUUGUCAUGCACCUCAUAUUAUGGUUGAUUGGUUGCAACUUUUCUUGUUCAUGCUUGUUCCUACCGACUUUAUCUUUCGUUAGUUAAGUCUGGAAAGCUCAGCCAUGUAGGGCACUACCUGUUCCUCUCACUUUAAUUUGAAUCACAAGUAGUGAAAGAUAUCUCGACUAAAGAGCUUAGAAUUUUCCUCAUUGGUUUCUUCUUUUUAUCUCUGCUAUACUAAGAAUUCUAGUCCCAACGAUUCUUUCUUACUUAAUUUCCUCAAAAAAAGAAAAGAAAAAGAAGAAAAGAAAGGAUUCUUUUGUUACUAGCAAGUUCAAAAUCUCUGCAAAUCCAACACUGAUAAUCAGAUCAGCACAAUCUCUCUGUAUUCUCUCUUCUCCCACACUGCUUGAUUUGUUUUGUUUAACAUGCAAGCGUUCGUUCAUUAUUCUUAUCUGUCCAUUUACAUAUGUACAUUCCACCACUUAAUUUAGUAUUUGUUUUAAUUAUUUCUUUAAGCUGGAGAGUUUUUCUCCAAGAAAGAGUUUGCCAGUUUGGACUUGUGGAUUGUACGGGUUUCUGUAAUAUGGCUUCUUCUUCUGCACCUGACGGCUUUAGGUACGAUGUCUUUCUUAGUUUCAGAGGGAAGGACACCCGCAGGGCUUUUACCAGCCAUCUUCGUGCGGCUUUAGAUAGGGAGCAAAUCAAAACCUACAUAGAUUACGAACUUAAGAGUGGAGAGGAAAUUGGACCUGCCCUUCGUAAAGCAAUUGAGGAAUCAAAGCUUUCCGUGGUCAUUUUGUCACAAAACUAUGCUUCUUCCACAUGGUGCUUGAAUGAACUUGCUCAUAUUAUAGAAUGUAAAGAAAGAUAUCAACAAUUGGUUAUACCUAUUUUUUACGAAGUAGAUCCGUCACAUGUACGCCACCAGAGCGAGAGUUAUGAAGCUGCAUUUGUUCAACAUGAACAACAUUACAAGCCAGACAAGGUGCGCAAGUGGAGGGAUGCUUUAACUAUAGCUUCCAACCUAGCUGGGUUUGAUUCACACAGCUUUGGCCAGGAGUCCGAAUUAGUUGAGGGAGUUGUCAAAGUUGUCGAAGACAAUGUGAUGAAGUUGAAUCGCGAAUGCUCAAGCGAUUUGAAGGGCCUGGUUGGAAUUGAAAGUCACAUUACGCUAUGCAUUGCCCCACAAGAUGUUGGGUUCAGCUCAUCGCAACUUAUGAAUUGGAAGGAGCUUGACAUAUCUGUAGCAGAAGAUGAAUGCUUGAAUUGUGGUGGAAUAGGACAUUGGGCCAAAGAUUGCCCUUUAGCAGGUGAUGAGGACAUUAUUGUAGCAGAAGAUCGAUGAAUGCUUCAGGUGCGGUCGUCCAGGACAUUGGGCCAAAGAUUGCCUUUCAGCAGGUGAUCAGGACAUGUAUGGAAGGAAAAUGGGAAGGGAAGCCUACUCAUCCUCGGGUUGGAGCAACUAUGGGGAAGGAGAUAGAUCAUCUGUGGGGAGAAAUGAAUGCUUCAAGUGCGGCCGCCCAGGACAUUGGACCCGAGAUUGCCCUUCUGCAACUGAUCAGGAAAUGCAUGGAAGUGGUCAAGCGGGAGGGGACGAUUCAAACACUGACUACAUUGUUUACUCAUAUGGUGGAAGGAGAAGCCCUCGAACAUUGGCAGCAAAACUGCCCUUCAUCAGCAAUUGGUGGAGGUGGAAAUGACGAUGACUCUGAUUGAAAGCGCAGAGAAAUUUGAGUAAAAGACUAGGAGAUCGAGUCUAGAGGUCAGCUCUCAGAGCUGUAGUGAAGGAAUGCGUACCACAUCGCGGAAUGAGAAACACUAGAGGCGUUGAAAUAUGCAUGCACGUGCAAAUGUAUUCCGACCUUACUUGAGCAGGAUAUGUUCUAUAGGAUCAUACUUCAUACCUCAGUAUCUUGACUUCUAAGGGGUCGCUUGGCUGUCUAACAGGUUCCCCCUCUUUUUAUUUCUUCUUCUUUUUACAAUUUUGUUUCUUCUUAGUUUUCAAACAUUUCAGCGGAAAUUUGAAAUUGAGAUCUCAUCCAUCUCUUCGUGUUAAAUUCGUUAACAAUACCUUUGAUGUAGAUGGUUCCAGUUGAUAUCGUUCCCCCCAGGGCCGGCCCUGAGGGCUGCCACCUGAGGCAGCCGUCUCAGGCCACCGGUUCCCGGGGGUCUCGAGUAAUUUAAUUAUGCAUAUAUGUUAUAUUUUACAUUAUAUACAUUUUGUGCCUUCUAAAGCACAUGUUGAUGCUUUGCGCUAGCGGAAUUGACAUUAUUCCUUAUUCCCACCAACCAAGGUUCGAAUGUUGCUUCUCUUUCACUUCUUUUUGUUUAAUUUUUCAAUUAGUUAAGUCAUUCCUUAGGCCCAGUUCGUACCUUGCA